GAGGCUGCAUACCCCGGAAGUAGGCGGCAAAAAGCGUACAACGGAGUCCAAUGGGAGUGUCGCAACUCUUUCUCUCUAUGGCUCUGCUGACGACCUGCCCG